rnacentral:rRNA from 1 species
UACGUAGGUGGCAAGCGUUGUCCGGAAUUACUGGGUGUAAAGCGCGUGUAGGCGGCAGACCAAGUCGGCGGUGAAAGCGCCCGGCUCAACUGGGCGAGGUCCGUGGAAACUGGUCAGCUGGAGGACGGUAGAGGAGAGUGGAAUUCCUGGUGUAGCGGUGAAAUGCGCAGAUAUCAGGAGGAACACCGGUGGCGAAGGCGGGUCUCUGGGCCGACACUGACGCUGAGAAGCGAAAGCAUGGGGAGCGAACAGG